GAUUUAUCGUUGGGUGGUGGAUAACCGCGGGAAACUGCGGCUAAUACGGCAUGACGCCUGUGGGCCAAAGGUCGCAAGACUGCCUGACGAGGAGCCUGCGUCCGAUUAGCUAGUUGGUUGGGUAAUGGCUGACCAAGGCUGUGAUCGGUAGCUGGUCUGAGAGGAUGAUCAGCCACACUGGGACUGAGACACGGCCCAGACUCCUACGGGAGGCAGCAGUGGGGAAUAUUGGACAAUGGGCGCAAGCCUGAUCCAGCAAUGCCGCGUGGAU
rnacentral:rRNA from 1 species